rnacentral:rRNA from 1 species
CCUAUCAACUUUCGAUGUUACAUUCUUCGCCUACUAUGGUGACCAUGGGUAACGGGGAAUCAGGGUUAGAUUACG